AGUGAACGCUGGCGGUAGGCCUAACACAUGCAAGUCGAACGGCAGCACAGUAAGAGCUUGCUCUUACGGGUGGCGAGUGGCGGACGGGUGAGGAAUACAUCGGAAUCUACUUUUUCGUGGGGGAUAACGUAGGGAAACUUACGCUAAUACCGCAUACGACCUACGGGUGAAAGCAGGGGAUCUUCGGACCUUGCGCGAUUGAAUGAGCCGAUGUCGGAUUAGCUAGUUGGCGGGGUAAAGGCCCACCAAGGCGACGAUCCGUAGCUGGUCUGAGAGGAUGGUCAGCCACACUGGAACUGAGACACGGUCCAGACUCCUACGGGAGGCAGCAGUGGGGAAUAUUGGACAAUGGGCGCAAGCCUGAUCCGGCCAUACCGCGUGGGUGAAGAAGGCCUUCGGGUUGUAAAGCCCUUUUGUUGGGAAAGAAAAGCAGCAGGUUAAUACCCCGCUGUUCUGACGGUACCCAAAGAAUAAGCACCGGCUAACUUCGUG
rnacentral:rRNA from 1 species